UACAGAGGUCUCGAGCGUUAGGCGGAAUCACUGGGCUUAAAGCGUGUGUAGGCGGGUCGUUAAGUGCCUUGUGAAAUCCCAUGGCUCAACCACGGAACUGCUGGGCAUACUGGCGAUCUUGUGCCACCUAGGGGCGAGCGGAACAGAUGGUGGAGCGGUGAAAUGCGUAGAUAUCAUCUGGAACGCCAAUGGUGAAAACAGCUCGCUGGGGGUGUGCAGACGCUGAGACACGAAAGCCAGGGGAGCGAACGGG
rnacentral:rRNA from 1 species